GUGGGGAAUUUUGGACAAUGGGCGCAAGCCUGAUCCAGCAAUGCCGCGUGCAGGAAGAAGGCCUUCGGGUUGUAAACUGCUUUUGUACGGAACGAAACGGUCCUGGCUAAUACCCGGGGCUAAUGACGGUACCGUAAGAAUAAGCACCGGCUAACUACGUGCCAGCAGCCGCGGUAAUACGUAGGGUGCGAGCGUUAAUCGGAAUUACUGGGCGUAAAGCGUGCGCAGGCGGUGCUGUAAGACAGGCGUGAAAUCCCCGGGCUCAACCUGGGAAUUGCGCUUGUGACUGCAGUGCUGGAGUGCGGCAGAGGGGGAUGGAAUUCCGCGUGUAGCAGUGAAAUGCGUAGAUAUGCGGAGGAACACCGAUGGCGAAGGCAAUCCCCUGGGCCUGCACUGACGCUCAUGCACGAAAGCGUGGGGAGCAAACAGGAUUAGAUACCCCAGUAGUCC
rnacentral:rRNA from 1 species